ensembl:lncRNA
GUUUCCUGGACCUUUAGCACGGGAAUGACACAGUUCGUAACCUUGGUCAAACAGGUUUUGAACCUGUCUCAGAAGAAUGCAGUCAUCUCUAAUCUGGAAUUUCACAUGAAUUUGCAUCAUAUUCAGCAUACAUUUUCAUCAGCCUUUUGCAAACACAAAAGCAAGAAAAGGAGACAACGCUUCUUUUGGUGCAUCCAUGAAAAAAAGUGUCUUCUUACAUUGCUACACGGCGGAAUCUGAGGAGAUGAGACGGCUUUCGUUCUGGCAGACCAUAUGCAUCUAUGAAUAUGCAUGAAAAUCUGUCAGCUGGUUAACAAGAAGGACAUAUAUGCAAGACAGGAAGCCAUAGAGCUGUUCCUGCUGAGUGCCAAACACAAUGUCAACUUAUUACACGGU